AACCGCUGAGGCGCGUGUGUGGAGGAAAGAACAGGCAAAUGAUUUACUUUGCUAUACCAAGGAGCAGAUGCUGAUCUCAUAAGAGCUAAGGAUGCGUCAUUUCUAGCAUUAGUUCCCAUUUCUGCAAUAGAAGUUUUGUGAUGGGAUAGCGGCAAUUUUUUAUUUUAUUUUAUUUUAUUUUUAGGAAAUUAUUACUUACUCCUAAAGUACCAUGUUAUCAAG
rnacentral:misc_RNA from 1 species